rnacentral:tRNA from 1 species
ACUCCCAUGGCGUAGUGGUCACUGCGCUCGCCUUGCACGCGGGAGACCUGGGUUCGAUUCCCGGCGGGGUCA